UCCUCUCAGGGUGCACAUACCUCUGUCACCAACUGGCUGAUGGACCAGGUUUCAUGCACUUGUGAUCUCGCUGGAAGCAUUGCAGCACCCUGUGAUGGACCUCCCAGUUUUGCUUUUCAAGGCCCCAUACUGGUAGCCCAGAGGAAUGGCUGAGGAGUUGCAGUGUACCCUGCAAUGACGGCGUCAGAAUCCAAGCACGCCCGAAGCGUGCAGGCCAAGAACCCGGGCAUUCUGAGGAGAAUGACCAAGAGGUGACAGCUGGAACGUAGCAGGCAGACAGGGAGAUGCCCUUCUUCUGCAGCCAGCAGGGAUUUGCAUCCCCAGAUGAGUGCAAGAUAAGUGGAAGAUGCAGACAGUUCAAAUCAGUGGCAGAGAGCCCCAGUCCUGGCUGAGGGUGUUGCCAUGAGCAGGUCAGUCAUUGUUUGCAUUUGCAGGGGAAGUCUAAAUGGUGACUUUGUUACAGCAGUCUUUAUUCUUAGGAGGUCCAGGCAGAUAGCAGCAGUCAAGGCCCAAUGUCCAAGGGGACCAGUGGACAGAAGCAGUUGUUUUUACUCAGCUUUCAGUUUCUGGUGCGAUUCUAAGCAUCCUUUCUCAUUUCUG